rnacentral:misc_RNA from 1 species
GCUGGUGCGAGAUGGUAGGAGGGGGAACUUUCUCUCCUCUGCCCUAUCAUCCCUGUUGGUGCCGUGCCAGGACCGUAUGACUCCAAGAGCUGUUUGCCGUUGUGCGUGUGCGCGUGGGUGAGCGAGAGACGACGACGACAACUGAACCUCAUUUGCAAUACACAGUUGGUGAGAGCCUUUCUUUCGAUGAUGAUGCACGAGUUAAUCCAUUCUCUGAGUCUCUGUGUGCGUGUGUAUGUGCGCAGGUGCACUGCCGAACUGCGGCGUGACGGGUGCUAGACAUGCGGGGGCUGCUGUGUCGAGGAGCAUGAGCAGUGUGCAGCCGCAAGCAAAGGAGCACGGGGGGACUCCAAACACCGUCUAUUCCCCUGCGUGAUGGAACUGUGACGAGACGGCAUGUGAUGCAACGCCUCCAACGCUGGACCGCACUGCUUGCUGUUUGCACGGGAAGGGGCGGGUGCUGCGGCAUCGUGUGUGUUGGCGUCUGGCACCUGGCGGUGGCUGGAUCGCCAUGUCACCGCACGGGAGAGCUGCCUAUCGGCAUCGCUCAUCCUUGCAGCGCACACGCCUUUGCCCUCACCCUGCUGCCGAGAUGUGGGGCACUGUGAAGACGGUGGAGAACAAAGCACAGCCAUCGGACACAGGGAGGCUGCGCUCGGUGCCUUCCUGUGAUGAAGUCAGGCCGGCGAGAAUGUCGAGAGCCCAGCGCAACGCGCGUCCAUCCCUCCUUGCCGCUCUCCGCGUGUGCCGCAGCUGUGGCGGCGGCAGAGGGAAGGGAGGCAGGCGCGGUGGUGGGGUCUGCAGCUCGUCGUCUUUUCGCGGCGUGUGUGUGUGUGUGUGUGCGACACUUAGCCGCAAACAAAGGAACACGGGGGGACUCCAAACACCGUCUAUUCCCCUGCGUGAUGGAACUGUGGCGAGACGGUGCGUGCGGCGCCGGGCCAGCGUGCUGCCCGCGUGUGUCAGUGUUGUUUUUGUGCGGUGAGCAAAGGGGCUUGGGAUUGGUAGGGGGGUGUCUUCAUGCUUCCACUGCCUUGCUCAUCUACCCUCCUUCACCCCCCUCCCUCCCCCGUGAAUAGGAUUGCGCUGCUGUUCGCUGUGUUGCAUGAUGCGGUUUGUGUCCCGGCUCUCACGAACAAUCCCGCCCGGAGUUUACCAUACUUGAUCUCUUGCGCGGACCUACGGGUGCCCAGAUGCGUGGCGUGUGGUAGGCGGCGCGUACGUGCGCGCGCUGCAACUGCGCCAAAGGGGUCAUUGUCAAAUUCCUUGCAGCGGCUGGUGCGAGAUGGUAGGAGGGGGAACUUUCUCUCCUCUGCCCUAUCAUCCCUGUUGGUGCCGUGCCAGGACCGUAUGACUCCAAGAGCUGUUUGCCGUUGUGCGUGUGCGCGUGGGUGAGCGAGAGACGACGACGACAACUGAACCUCAUUUGCAAUACACAGUUGGUGAGAGCCUUUCUUUCGAUGAUGAUGCACGAGUUAAUCCAUUCUCUGAGUCUCUGUGUGCGUGUGUAUGUGCGCAGGUGCACUGCCGAACUGCGGCGUGACGGGUGCUAGACAUGCGGGGGCUGCUGUGUCGAGGAGCAUGAGCAGUGUGCAGCCGCAAGCAAAGGAGCACGGGGGGACUCCAAACACCGUCUAUUCCCCUGCGUGAUGGAACUGUGACGAGACGGCAUGUGAUGCAACGCCUCCAACGCUGGACCGCACUGCUUGCUGUUUGCACGGGAAGGGGCGGGUGCUGCGGCAUCGUGUGUGUUGGCGUCUGGCACCUGGCGGUGGCUGGAUCGCCAUGUCACCGCACGGGAGAGCUGCCUAUCGGCAUCGCUCAUCCUUGCAGCGCACACGCCUUUGCCCUCACCCUGCUGCCGAGAUGUGGGGCACUGUGAAGACGGUGGAGAACAAAGCACAGCCAUCGGACACAGGGAGGCUGCGCUCGGUGCCUUCCUGUGAUGAAGUCAGGCCGGCGAGAAUGUCGAGAGCCCAGCGCAACGCGCGUCCAUCCCUCCUUGCCGCUCUCCGCGUGUGCCGCAGCUGUGGCGGCGGCAGAGGGAAGGGAGGCAGGCGCGGUGGUGGGGUCUGCAGCUCGUCGUCUUUUCGCGGCGUGUGUGUGUGUGUGUGUGCGACACUUAGCCGCAAACAAAGGAACACGGGGGGACUCCAAACACCGUCUAUUCCCCUGCGUGAUGGAACUGUGGCGAGACGGUGCGUGCGGCGCCGGGCCAGCGUGCUGCCCGCGUGUGUCAGUGUUGUUUUUGUGCGGUGAGCAAAGGGGCUUGGGAUUGGUAGGGGGGUGUCUUCAUGCUUCCACUGCCUUGCUCAUCUACCCUCCUUCACCCCCCUCCCUCCCCCGUGAAUAGGAUUGCGCUGCUGUUCGCUGUGUUGCAUGAUGCGGUUUGUGUCCCGGCUCUCACGAACAAUCCCGCCCGGAGUUUACCAUACUUGAUCUCUUGCGCGGACCUACGGGUGCCCAGAUGCGUGGCGUGUGGUAGGCGGCGCGUACGUGCGCGCGCUGCAACUGCGCCAAAGGGGUCAUUGUCAAAUUCCUUGCAGCGGCUGGUGCGAGAUGGUAGGAGGGGGAACUUUCUCUCCUCUGCCCUAUCAUCCCUGUUGGUGCCGUGCCAGGACCGUAUGACUCCAAGAGCUGUUUGCCGUUGUGCGUGUGCGCGUGGGUGAGCGAGAGACGACGACGACAACUGAACCUCAUUUGCAAUACACAGUUGGUGAGAGCCUUUCUUUCGAUGAUGAUGCACGAGUUAAUCCAUUCUCUGAGUCUCUGUGUGCGUGUGUAUGUGCGCAGGUGCACUGCCGAACUGCGGCGUGACGGGUGCUAGACAUGCGGGGGCUGCUGUGUCGAGGAGCAUGAGCAGUGUGCAGCCGCAAGCAAAGGAGCACGGGGGGACUCCAAACACCGUCUAUUCCCCUGCGUGAUGGAACUGUGACGAGACGGCAUGUGAUGCAACGCCUCCAACGCUGGACCGCACUGCUUGCUGUUUGCACGGGAAGGGGCGGGUGCUGCGGCAUCGUGUGUGUUGGCGUCUGGCACCUGGCGGUGGCUGGAUCGCCAUGUCACCGCACGGGAGAGCUGCCUAUCGGCAUCGCUCAUCCUUGCAGCGCACACGCCUUUGCCCUCACCCUGCUGCCGAGAUGUGGGGCACUGUGAAGACGGUGGAGAACAAAGCACAGCCAUCGGACACAGGGAGGCUGCGCUCGGUGCCUUCCUGUGAUGAAGUCAGGCCGGCGAGAAUGUCGAGAGCCCAGCGCAACGCGCGUCCAUCCCUCCUUGCCGCUCUCCGCGUGUGCCGCAGCUGUGGCGGCGGCAGAGGGAAGGGAGGCAGGCGCGGUGGUGGGGUCUGCAGCUCGUCGUCUUUUCGCGGCGUGUGUGUGUGUGUGUGUGCGACACUUAGCCGCAAACAAAGGAACACGGGGGGACUCCAAACACCGUCUAUUCCCCUGCGUGAUGGAACUGUGGCGAGA